AUUGAACGCUGGCGGCAUGCUUUACACAUGCAAGUCGAACGGUAACAGGCCUUCGGGUGCUGACGAGUGGAGAACGGGUGAGUAAUGCAUCGGAACGUACCCAGAGGUGGGGGAUAACGAAGCGAAAGCUGUGCUAAUACCGCAUGUGAUCUGAGGAUGAAAGCGGGGGACCGAGCAGCAAUGUUUGGCCUCGCGCCUUUGGAGCGGCCGAUGUCGGAUUAGCUAGUUGGUGGGGUAAAGGCCUACCAAGGAGACGAUCCGUAGCUGGUCUGAGAGGACGUCCAGCCACACUGGGACUGAGACACGGCCCAGACUCCUACGGGAGGCAGCAGUGGGGAAUUUUGGACAAUGGGCGCAAGCCUGAUCCAGCAAUGCCGCGUGCGGGAAGAAGGCCUUCGGGUUGUAAACCGCUUUUGUCAGGAACGAAACGGUGUCCGCUAAUACCGGGCGCUAAUGACGGUACCUGCAGAAUAAGCACCGGCUAACUACGUG
rnacentral:rRNA from 1 species